rnacentral:misc_RNA from 1 species
AAGUCGUAACAAGGUUUCCGUAGGUGAACCUGCGGAAGGAUCAUUAUAAAAUGAUGAUUUUUUGGGGUUUUCCCUGAAAAAUAAUUCACCUUUUGUGCAUUGUUAUAAGAUAUACUUUGGUUAGAGCUUUGGUUUCAUAUUUUUGAAAUCAACUUCUCGCUGACUCUAUCCUAAUAUAUGGGACAGUUGGCUAUGAAGCGGCCUACCAAGGUUUUUUAUCAAACUCAUUUAAUUUAUCUGACCUAAACGAUUAUAAUAAAAUCAUAACUUUCAACAACGGAUCUCUUGGCUCUC